AAAUUGGACCAACUUACUGUGUUUUUCCUCACCAAGAGACACUGAAACACUCUUACCCUGGAAUAUUAAUACAUUUUGGGGAAGAAUCUGAAUAGUGUGCAGAAUUUGCCUGUCCAUUUAGAUUUGAGAGUUACUAAUAUGGUAGUGUCUCGCUACAUGCAGCUUUUCAAAAAAUAUGUUUGCUAGAAGGUUUGAGUAAUUUUACAUGAUCACAAUCUUUAAAUAAAUUUUUUCUGACCAAAAGGUACCAUUUAAGUGG
rnacentral:lncRNA from 1 species